rnacentral:rRNA from 1 species
UACGUAGGGUGCAAGCGUUAAUCGGAAUUACUGGGCGUAAAGCGUGCGCAGGCGGUUUGGUAAGACAGAUGUGAAAUCCCCGGGCUUAACCUGGGAACUGCAUUUGUGACUGCCCGGCUAGAGUGUGUCAGAGGGGGGUAGAAUUCCACGUGUAGCAGUGAAAUGCGUAGAGAUCUGGAGGAACACCGAUGGCGAAGGCAGCCCCCUGGGCUAACACUGACGCUCAUGCACGAAAGCGUGGGGAGCAAACAGG